UUUUAUUUGAGAGUUUGAUCCUGGCUCAGGAUGAACGCUGGCGGCGUGCCUAACACAUGCAAGUUGAGCGAUUUACUUCGGUAAAGAGCGGCGGACGGGUGAGUAACGCGUGGGUAACCUACCCUGUACACACGGAUAACAUACCGAAAGGUAUGCUAAUACGGGAUAAUAUAUUUGAGAGGCAUCUCUUAAAUAUCAAAGGUGAGCCAGUACAGGAUGGACCCGCGUCUGAUUAGCUAGUUGGUAAGGUAACGGCUUACCA
rnacentral:rRNA from 1 species